UUUCCCUUAAAAAAUAU
rnacentral:sRNA from 1 species